UUAAGCGACUAAGCGUACACGGUGGAUGCCCUGGCAGUCAGAGGCGAUGAAGGACGUGCUAAUCUGCGAUAAGCGUCGGUAAGGUGAUAUGAACCGUUAUAACCGGCGAUUUCCGAAUGGGGAAACCCAGUGUGAUUCGUCACACUAUCAUUAACUGAAUCCAUAGGUUAAUGAGGCGAACCGGGGGAACUGAAACAUCUAAGUACCCCGAGGAAAAGAAAUCAACCGAGAUUCCCCCAGUAGCGGCGAGCGAACGGGGAGGAGCCCAGAGCCUGAAUCAGUGUGUGUGUUAGUGGAAGCGUCUGGAAAGGCGCGCGAUACAGGGUGACAGCCCCGUACACAAAAAUGCACAUACUGUGAGCUCGAUGAGUAGGGCGGGACACGUGGUAUCCUGUCUGAAUAUGGGGGGACCAUCCUCCAAGGCUAAAUACUCCUGACUGACCGAUAGUGAACCAGUACCGUGAGGGAAAGGCGAAAAGAACCCCGGCGAGGGGAGUGAAAAAGAACCUGAAACCGUGUACGUACAAGCAGUGGGAGCCUCUUUAUGGGGUGACUGCGUACCUUUUGUAUAAUGGGUCAGCGACUUAUAUUCUGUAGCAAGGUUAACCGAAUAGGGGAGCCGAAGGGAAACCGAGUCUUAACUGGGCGUUAAGUUGCAGGGUAUAGACCCGAAACCCGGUGAUCUAGCCAUGGGCAGGUUGAAGGUUGGGUAACACUAACUGGAGGACCGAACCGACUAAUGUUGAAAAAUUAGCGGAUGACUUGUGGCUGGGGGUGAAAGGCCAAUCAAACCGGGAGAUAGCUGGUUCUCCCCGAAAGCUAUUUAGGUAGCGCCUCGUGAAUUCAUCUCCGGGGGUAGAGCACUGUUUCGGCAAGGGGGUCAUCCCGACUUACCAACCCGAUGCAAACUGCGAAUACCGGAGAAUGUUAUCACGGGAGACACACGGCGGGUGCUAACGUCCGUCGUGAAGAGGGAAACAACCCAGACCGCCAGCUAAGGUCCCAAAGUCAUGGUUAAGUGGGAAACGAUGUGGGAAGGCCCAGACAGCCGUGAUGUUGGCUUAGAAGCAGCCAUCAUUUAAAGAAAGCGUAAUAGCUCACUGGUCGAGUCGGCCUGCGCGGAAGAUGUAACGGGCUAAACCAUGCACCGAAGCUGCGGCAGCGACACUAUGUGUUGUUGGGUAGGGGAGCGUUCUGUAAGCCUGUGAAGGUGUACUGUGAGGUAUGCUGGAGGUAUCAGAAGUGCGAAUGCUGACAUAAGUAACGAUAAAGCGGGUGAAAAGCCCGCUCGCCGGAAGACCAAGGGUUCCUGUCCAACGUUAAUCGGGGCAGGGUGAGUCGACCCCUAAGGCGAGGCCGAAAGGCGUAGUCGAUGGGAAACAGGUUAAUAUUCCUGUACUUGGUGUUACUGCGAAGGGGACGGAGAAGGCUAUGUUGGCCGGGCGACGGUUGUCCCGGUUUAAGCGUGUAGGCUGAUUUUCCGUGCAAAUCCGGAAAAUCAAGGCUGAGGCGUGAUGACGAGGCACUACGGUGCUGAAGCAACAAAUGCCCUGCUUCCAGGAAAAGCCUCUAAGCAUCAGGUAACAUCAAAUCGUACCCCAAACCGACACAGGUGGUCAGGUAGAGAAUACCAAGGCGCUUGAGAGAACUCGGGUGAAGGAACUAGGCAAAAUGGUGCCGUAACUUCGGGAGAAGGCACGCUGAUAUGUAGGUGAAGCGACUUGCUCGUGGAGCUGAAAUCAGUCGAAGAUACCAGCUGGCUGCAACUGUUUAUUAAAAACACAGCACUGUGCAAACACGAAAGUGGACGUAUACGGUGUGACGCCUGCCCGGUGCCGGAAGGUUAAUUGAUGGGGUUAGCGGUAACGCGAAGCUCUUGAUCGAAGCCCCGGUAAACGGCGGCCGUAACUAUAACGGUCCUAAGGUAGCGAAAUUCCUUGUCGGGUAAGUUCCGACCUGCACGAAUGGCGUAAUGAUGGCCAGGCUGUCUCCACCCGAGACUCAGUGAAAUUGAACUCGCUGUGAAGAUGCAGUGUACCCGCGGCAAGACGGAAAGACCCCGUGAACCUUUACUAUAGCUUGACACUGAACAUUGAGCCUUGAUGUGUAGGAUAGGUGGGAGGCUUUGAAGUGUGGACGCCAGUCUGCAUGGAGCCGACCUUGAAAUACCACCCUUUAAUGUUUGAUGUUCUAACGUUGACCCGUGAUCCGGGUUGCGGACAGUGUCUGGUGGGUAGUUUGACUGGGGCGGUCUCCUCCUAAAGAGUAACGGAGGAGCACGAAGGUUGGCUAAUCGGUCGGACAUCAGGAGGUUAGUGCAAUGGCAUAAGCCAGCUUGACUGCGAGCGUGACGGCGCGAGCAGGUGCGAAAGCAGGUCAUAGUGAUCCGGUGGUUCUGAAUGGAAGGGCCAUCGCUCAACGGAUAAAAGGUACUCCGGGGAUAACAGGCUGAUACCGCCCAAGAGUUCAUAUCGACGGCGGUGUUUGGCACCUCGAUGUCGGCUCAUCACAUCCGGGGCUGAAGUAGGUCCCAAGGGUAUGGCUGUUCGCCAUUUAAAGUGGUACGCGAGCUGGGUUUAGAACGUCGUGAGACAGUUCGGUCCCUAUCUGCCGUGGGCGCUGGAGAACUGAGGGGGGCUGCUCCUAGUACGAGAGGACCGGAGUGGACGCAUCACUGGUGUUCGGGUUGUCAUGCCAAUGGCACUGCCCGGUAGCUAAAUGCGGAAGAGAUAAGUGCUGAAAGCAUCUAAGCACGAAACUUGCCCCGAGAUGAGUUCUCCCUGACUCCUUGAGAGUCCUGAAGGAACGUUGAAGACGACGACGUUGAUAGGCCGGGUGUGUAAGCGCAGCGAUGCGUUGAGCUAACCGGUACUAAUGAACCGUGAGGCUUAACCU
rnacentral:rRNA from 1 species